UACGAGGGGGGCAAGCGUUGUUCGGAUUUAUUGGGCGUAAAGGGUGCGUAGGCGGUCUGGCAAGUCUUGUGUGAAAUCUUCGGGCUCAACCCGAAGUCUGCACAAGAAACUGCCGGGCUUGAGUAUGGGAGAGGUGAGUGGGAAUUUCCGGUGUAGCGGUGAAAUGCGUAGAUAUCGGAAGGAACACCUGUGGCGAAAGCGGCUCACGUGGACCAUAACUGACGCUGAGGCACGAAAGCUAGGGGAGCAAACAGG
rnacentral:rRNA from 1 species